GAGUAAAGUUGGAUUUGAGUGUUGAAAUCUGGUGAGAGGAGAAGGGAAUGAUGCGAUGAUCUGAGGCUGUGAAAAGGUGUUUGACAGGGUUUUUUUGAAGACCCUGACCUGGACUUACACGCAGCCUUCGGUUCUUUGCGGGAAUGGGACCUGUUCUCGAGAUUCCACGACUGGCCAUUAUUCGACAUGCCAAGAGUUUGACCUGAGAGUCUUGACCGUGUUCGGAAGUCUAGGAUUUCGAGGCUCUGGGGAUGGGCCAAUCGAGGGUCAGUCUCAUGGCAGGAGACUCGUGUGUUGUUGGGGUGGCCAGAAAAUCUUUCGCUGUGGACCCGAGGUCUUUGUGAUCUUCAGAAAUAGAGUUUGAAAAAGUGGCAAAAUGGACUUGUAAACUAGCGGGUUGUUGUCUCCCGCUCACUGUGAAAAUGGGGGACACCUCCCUCUCCUUUGCCAGGGUAUAUCAAAUGUCGGAUGAAAUGCGAAGCCUUUGGGGUAACUUUGGUCUGUGACUUUGCUAUUGCUUAGCACACGCUUGGUUUUGGUGUUAGUACCGAUGCAUGUUUUUUUUCUGGUGGGGGGAGGGAGGAUUGUUUCUCACUGCCGCUUAUGCAUAGGA